rnacentral:lncRNA from 1 species
AAAAAGAAAAAAAAAAAAAAAAAAAAAAAAAAAAGAAAAAAGAAAAAAAAACCAUCAACCGUCUCCAUUCACACGUUUCUUCAUUAUGAUCACGAAUUCACGUUCAUGGAAGCUUCAUCAUACAUUAACACUUACAAGUUUCUUCGUCGAGUUUUUAUCCAAGGUUUCUUCGUCAACUCUGUAUCCAAGGUAAUAAAUAUUUGUUCUUUUCAUUGGUUAGAAUUAUAGGGUGCAGGAUAGUAUUGACGUCUUAAAGACAUAACAUGGGCAAGAUACUAUGAGAAUUGGUUUAAUCUUUCUAAAAUUUGGUUAAAUUUUACAAAAAUAUUUAUAAUUUUAACAAAUCUAACUAAAAAAAUUAUGGAAUCUAGGUUAUUUAGGAUAUUUUUUGUUAUUUGCUAUAAAAUUACAACUAAAUAUAACUAAUAUUUUUGGAUAUAUAAGUUUAUUUCCGGUUUUUGGAUAUCUAUUCGGUUUUCGUUCGGAUCGGGUUUGGUUCGGAUAAUUCGAAUAGGAUUAUUUAUUAUCCGUUCUGGUUUAGGGACUAUUCGGUUUAGGUUCGGUUCUAGAUUUUUCGGAUCGGUUUUCGGAUUUCGGGUUUUAUGCCCAGUCCUAGUUUAGGUAUAUUUUAUUCAUUUAAGCACCAAAUUUUAUUAGUUAUGUCUUAUUUUUUGUAUUUAUCUUCAAAAUAGAAAUAUGAUUGAUUAAUUUCCCCUCUUAUUAUACAUAAAUAGUUUUGAAAAUUUAUUUCAAAUUUUAUGCAGUUAAAUAUUAAAUAAUUAUCAGAAUCAUAUUAAUUAAAUGUAUGACGUAAUUAUUUUGGUUGUAUUAUAAUUUAAAUCAUUUGAGCAUGUAAUUAAUAUAUGACUAAACCAUAUCUACCAACAUUAAAGUGAAAAUAAUUUGUUACACCAAAGGAACCAAAGAGUGGUGUCUUAUCUGCCAACACUGUGUUUGCCAUGGACUUAUUGAUGUUAACACAAUGCUCAGGUGACUGAAGUGGAAGUUAUCUAUUUAUCAAACGCAAUGAUAAAAUUUUGGUCAAUGACUACUGA